rnacentral:misc_RNA from 1 species
CUUUAUAUUUUUCAAUUAAAUUAAUUAUUUUAUAUAAACAUAUUUUUCCUUCAAAGCUUAAAUCCAACACCCUGGACACUCUUAUACAUACUAAGUUUUGGAUUAGAUUAGAAUUUGUAGUAGAGAAACUUUCUAAUAAUUAAAUUAAAUCAUUAGCCCUUCUAAAUCAUAUCCUAAGAUUUUCUAUUCAAUAAUAAGUUAUUUACAAAAUGAUAAAAAAAAAUUAUUUAAAAUAUCUUGAAAUUUUUAGAUUGGUGAACUCUAAAAUUGUUUUUCUUUUUUUUUUUUUACUGUGUAUCAAGAUUCUGUUUAAGCUAAUAU